GAUGAACGCUAGCGGCCGGCUUAAUACAUGCAAGUCGAGGGGCAGCCUGGUGUAGCAAUACACUGAUGGCGACCGGCAAACGGGUGCGGAACACGUACGCAACCUUCCCGAAAAUGGUGAAUAGCCCUCCGAAAGGAGGAUUAAUACACCCUAACAUAGUGAAGCGGCAUCGCUUUAUUAUUAAAGUAGCAAUACGGUUUUGGAUGGGCGUGCGCCUGAUUAGAUAGUUGGCGGGGUAACGGCCCCCCAAGUUUACGAUCCGUAACUGGUGUGAGAGCCCGACCCGUCACACGGGCACUGAGACACGGGCCCGACUCCUACGGGAGGCAGCCGUAAGGAAUAUUGGUCAAUGGACGAAAGUUUGAACCAGCCCUGCCGCGUGAAGGAUGAAGGCCCUUUGGGUUGUAAACUUUUUUUAUAGGGGACGAAAAAAGGGAAUUUUUUUUCACUUGACGGUACCCUAGGAAUAAGCCCCGGCUAACUCCGUG
rnacentral:rRNA from 1 species